rnacentral:rRNA from 13 species
AGAAGUGCGAAUUCUGACAUGAGUAACGAUAAUGGGUGUGAAAAACACCCACGCCGAAAGACCAAGGUUUCCUGCGCAACGUUAAUCGACGCAGGGUUAGUCGGUCCCUAAGGCGAGGCUGAAAAGCGUAGUCGAUGGAAAACAGGUUAAUAUUCCUGUACUUCUGGUUAUUGCGAUGGAGGGACGGAGAAGGCUAGGCCAGCUUGGCGUUGGUUGUCCAAGUUUAAGGUGGUAGGCUGGAAUCUUAGGUAAAUCCGGGAUUCUAAGGCCGAGAGC